GAGUCGGCCAUCAUGCUGGCCCCGGAGGCCGUUAGCUUAGUCAUGGCUCUAAAUAUGUACCUGCAAUCGGAUGUUGAGGAUCACCGAGCCCGCGACGUAGAAGUACGGGAAGUUCAUGCGCAGCUGCCAGGCCAGCUCGAAGAAGGCGAGCAGGGUGCGGGAGAGCCCCUUGCAGAAGACGCCGUACGAGGUUCUCCAGCAUUUGGCUCAAGGCCCCAAGGGCACAUGUGACAAGAAGGCGCCAGCUUUUUAAACAUUGGAAGUUCUUCUGUGUCAGUUCUGUGACAGAACAUUUACUUAACACAUCAUGAAGGCUAGUUUGGAUGUGGAGGGGAAUAGACUCCAUCUAUCCAUAUGAGCUGCUGCAGAAGAAUAUUUUGCCUGCUGGAACCUGCUGUAUCUACUCAAGAGUGGAAGUUUUCACAGGAGGAGGCUGUAGAACGAACCUGUCCUCAUGCUCAGCCAAACUACUGCAAUUAUAUACCCUUCAUUUCAUUCAUUCAUCCUAAUUUGGGGAAGCAAGAAGCUGAAACAGACCUUUCUUUUGAUUUUGUGUCAGAUUAAGUGCUGAGUAAAAGACCUGAAACUCUCAAAUUUCUAGAUUCACAAGUGGGACAUCGUGUGUCUCCAAGAGAAAACAAACUGAUGUUGUCUGGAACAUUUUAUACUUUCCACUGGUUUUUCUGUAUUGUAUGUUUUUGAGUAAUUUCCAAAAGUAUAUCUAGAAAAGUCUUUUACCUAAAGUUAGUCUAAAAAGUAUCUAUAUAUGCAUGUGUAUGUGUAUAUGAAACACUUAAGAGAGAGUGGCAAUAACAUAAUCAUUUUUUACAAACUGCCAAAUUAUAGAAAAUAUUGUAAGAAAUUUUUCAGAAUCAUGAAGCCAUGUGUAUUCACAAUACAGUUCAUAUUAUCAUGUUUCAUUUGAAAAAUUUAUGAUCUCUAUUUAUAAUUGUUAAGAACUUACAGCUUAUUUCACAAAAUCAUUGCUCUUUUCCACUGUUAUUUGUACCAUACGUAUGUACCAUAGUGUGCUUAAACGUGAUUAUUUGAACGUCUAGUUUUUUGGAUGGUAUGCGCAUUCUAAUCUAAAUCAAUAAUGAAGUUUUAUCUUUGGGGUAGUUUUUGUUGCAUAAUGAAUUCUAAUUUUAUGUUUAAUUUAAAGCAAACAAUUAUUGUUAGAAAACUAUGCACAAAAUAAAAUUCAAGGAUGAAAAAUA